AACGAACCUGUUCUGGUUUUGUCCUGAACCUUAAAGCCUCCAUCUAACACCCAAACGCGUCAGAAGCUGGAGAUCGGCGACACUAAGGCUAUGUUUGGGGGGGCUUUUUAGCUCCCCUGCUUAUAAGCACAAGAGGACUAUGCGUUUGGUUAGCUGACUUAUGCUCAGCUUAUUCGAAAAGCCACUACAGCUUCUCUCCAAAAGGAGAAGCUGCCUGACCCCAGCUUUCAGAAGCCAGAAGCCAGCAGCUACUGUAGCGGUACUUACUGUAGCUAAAUGAAUGUUUCAAAAUGACAGAUUCUAUCCUUCCUUGGGAGAGGCAAUUACGGAUUGCCAUCAAGCCCCUUCGAGAUGAGGUCAGAGGCUGCAUAGCAUUUUCAUCUCUAUCCCAUCUCCACUCUCCCUCUAACGCCGCCGGGCUCUCAUCACAGACGCCGCCUCACUCUUCCUUUAACGCCGCCUCCCUCUCCCUCUGACGCCGCCUCAGCCUCUCAUCACGAAAACCCCAAGCACAGAGCAAUCGAACCAAACACAAUCACUUCAUGACCUGAACCCACAUCCUCCCCCAAUUUCAGAUCGGGAAGCCAGAUUUCUUCAUCCUCUCUUUACUACAGAAUGCAUCCUGGUGAGGAAAAGCUAGUUUGUCUCUCUUGAUUUUCGAUCUCCCAAAUCAAUUUUUCUUUCAGCUUGGUUGAAUAAAAUUUCAAAAACCUGUUUGGGUUCUAGUAUUCAUUUCAAUUUCAAGAUUAUGUGUGUGAUUUACAAACUUGGGUUUGAUUUCUGGGCAGCAAAACGUACGAUUUGGUUGAAUUUGUUUUUCAGACUUCAUGUGCUUGUGAUUUUGUUUGAUGGGUUUAAUUCCUCUUCUAUGGUUUUGGUAUUCAAGCUCUUGUAUUUAGUAUUCAAGCUUUUGGUAUGCAAGUUGAUCUGGUUUUCGUGUAUGAUACAUUAUAAUCUUGCAUCUCGGGUUUGAUUGCUUCUGUAUGAUUAUGAUUCGCAUGCUUACACAAGCGGAUAAUUAGAGGUUGAAGAACGCGUGCUUGCUGUAUGAUUAUGACUCGCAUGCUUACAACUCUAAUCUCUUGUAUUACAGACAUGAAACCUUCACAGCUAUGUCAUUAUUGUACAUGGAUACUCUCUCACACUACUAGAUCAUUCAGAGUACAUAUUUUUGGAAACCAAAAGCUUUAUUGAGGAGCACUUACUAAAGUGGACUAGGCUUCGCAUAAACUUGAAACAGCUCACACAUCUUUUGCAAUUCUCUUACCCCCCAAAAAACUUGCCCAGAUUAGGCAUUACCUUCGUCUUUUUCUGAAUGGGGAAAUUAUUCAUAUGCCGAGCUCCAGGAGAGGCAGAUUUUUGGAACAUUGGCUUGCCUUGAUGGAGUUAAAUUUCCAUUAGUUCGCAGGUUUCCAGAUGCUGCAUUUAUGUCCCUCAUUUGUCUCCAAAUUUGUAAUUCUUGUCCCUCAAGCAUCCUCUGUCCAGAAGGUUGUCUUUCAGGUCUUUGGAACGGCGUGUUGUCAUUCUUUCUCUUGGUUCUAAGUAGUUUUGGUUCUGGGUUGCGCAGCAUCUAAGGGAUAUCUGUAGCAUUGAUAAAUCUGAAGCAAUAUGAUUAUUCGAGGAUGUAAUUGUUCCAUAAACUUAUUAUCAUUGUCUCUGCUCUUAGUAGAUAGGUUAGCAAUGAUAAUACUUUAGGUUCAUUGCUUCACUUUCUUAAUUCACGUUUUCUGACCCAGCCAUACCAAACAUAGCCAUAAUAGGCAGCCUCUUAAAAGAGCUACAAUCCUAAACUAGAAAUUUAUCUAGUAUGUGCGGGAUGGGAAGGGUCUGCUCAUGAUACGAGAGUGUUUCUAUCGGUACUUCGAGAUCCCGAAAUGAAUUUUCCUAAACCUCCACUAGGUUAUGGGUCAAGUGGUGAGAUAGAAAUGGAUGAUGAUGUACAAGAAGAAUAUCAUGGUCACGGUGCACAAGAAAUGGAAGCAAUAAGAAAUAGCAUUACUCAAAGUUUGAUGAAUGCGCGUAAUAACGUGAACAUUUGAUGUGAACU